UACGGAGGGUGCAAGCGUUAUCCGGAUUCACUGAGUUUAAAGGGUGCGUAGGUGGGUCUGUAAGUCAGUGGUGAAAUCUUCGAGCUUAACUCGGAAACUGCCAUUGAUACUAUAGAUCUUGAAUUUUCUGGAGGUAAGCGGAAUAUGUCAUGUAGCGGUGAAAUGCUUAGAUAUGACAUAGAACACCAAUUGCGAAGGCAGCUUACUACGGGAACAUUGACACUGAGGCACGAAAGCGUGGGGAUCAAACAGG
rnacentral:rRNA from 1 species